rnacentral:rRNA from 1 species
GAUGAACGCUGGCGAGAUGCCUUACACAUGCAAGUCGUACGAGAGUUUUUAACUCAAGUGGCGGACGGGUGAGUAACACGUAAGAAUUUGCCUUUAGGAGGGGGACAACAACUGGAAACGGUUGCUAAUACCCCAUAUGCUUUCGAGUGAAAUGGAUUUUCCGCCUAGAGAGAAGCUUGCGGCUGGAUUAGCUUGUGGUGAGGUAAUGGCUCACCAAGGCGACGAUCAGUAUCUGGUUGAGAGACGAUCAGACACACUGGAACUGAGACACGGUCCAGACUCCUACGGAGGCAGCAGUGGGAAUUUCGCAA